rnacentral:tRNA from 1 species
CAGAUUAAAGUAAAUAUUACAAUCAGUUUCGACCUGAUAUUUGGGUAUCCUUUUCUGG